rnacentral:tRNA from 1 species
UCCCUGGUGGCUUACAUGGUUAAGAAUCUGCCUGCAAUGCAGGAGACCCAGGUUCAAUCCCUGGGUUGGGAA